rnacentral:rRNA from 1 species
AUUGAACGCUGGCGGCAGGCUUAACACAUGCAAGUCGAGCGGUAGCACAAGAGAGCUUGCUCUCUGGGUGACGAGCGGCGGACGGGUGAGUAAUGUCUGGGAAACUGCCUGAUGGAGGGGGAUAACUACUGGAAACGGUAGCUAAUACCGCAUAACGUCGCAAGACCAAAGAGGGGGACCUUCGGGCCUCUUGCCAUCAGAUGUGCCCAGAUGGGAUUAGCUAGUAGGUGGGGUAAUGGCUCACCUAGGCGACGAUCCCUAGCUGGUCUGAGAGGAUGACCAGCCACACUGGAACUGAGACACGGUCCAGACUCCUACGGGAGGCAGCAGUGAGGAAUAUUGCACAAUGGGCGCAAGCCUGAUGCAGCCAUGCCGCGUGUGUGAAGAAGGCCUUCGGGUUGUAAAGCACUUUCAGCGAGGAGGAAGGUGGUGAGCUUAAUACGCUCAUCAAUUGACGUUACUCGCAGAAGAAGCACCGGCUAACUCCGUGCCAGCAGCCGCGGUAAAAC